AUUAACUAAUUAAAGACACUUUCUUUUUAACCUCAAAUUUUCUAAUUGUUUAAUUAAUUAUUAAAAUAAAUAGAGUAGAAUAUUUUUUUGAAAUGUAGAAUAAUAAAUGUUGGCUUUGGAAAUGAAAUGUUGAUAAAAAUAAACAAAGAUUUAUCUUAACGUUAUACUUACGUCUAUUGCCCAAGAGAAGAGAACUGCAGCGUUAAGAAAUUGCCCAGCGAAAGCGAAUACUUGGUAAGAGAGAGAUUAUUGACCGUACCACGAUAGAUUCCACUGUAAUUCAAUAAAAAAAAUAAUGUCAGCACAAAAGGAGUCAUUUCUCUAGGAAAAGAAGGUUUGGUAAUGAAUAGUUGUUCACUGUCCUGAGUGACAUUAAUGACUGAAUAUGAAUUACAUGAUUUACAAUGGUAGCAUUGGUACCAGAGAGUAGCUGAAGCGUAGAAAAAUAGAGAUAUAUUCAUUAAAGAGAUUACAUAAAUCAAGGAAACUGUAAUAAAAUUUGUUCUGCUGGAUAUCAAUGAUAAUUACCAGCCACUUGGAAGAUCAAUUAAUAAAUAACAUUUUUUUUGUUAUCAAAGGUUUGUAAUAAGUUAGCAAAUUUUAUUGUUCAAUUUUUGCAUAAACAAAGUCGUGGGCAUGAGCUAUAGUUGAUGAAUAAAAAUGAACCAGGUGUUGGAGAUAAAUAAAAUAAUAGGAAAAGUGUUGGCUAAUGAUAACGUUGAAGGAAUGAAUAAUA